rnacentral:rRNA from 1 species
CAGUAGCCACGGGAAUACAGAGGGUGCGAGCGUUAAUCGGAUUUACUGGGCGUAAAGGGCGCGUAGGCGGUUUGUUAAGUCAGAUGUGAAAUCCCCGAGCUUAACUUGGGAACUGCAUUUGAAACUGGCAAGCUAGAGUCUUGUAGAGGGGGGUAGAAUUCCAGGUGUAGCGGUGAAAUGCGUAGAGAUCUGGAGGAAUACCGGUGGCGAAGGCGGCCCCCUGGACAAAGACUGACGCUCAGGUGCGAAAGCGUGGGGAGCAAACAGGAUUAGAUACCCGCGUAGUCCCUGUCUCUUAUAC